ensembl:lncRNA
GCUCUGCUAAUCUGAUAAUAACGCAAUAACAGCAGCAGCCAGGAGGUCUAAUUUAAAGAAAAUGUUUAUCCAGACUGGCCACUGUAAGGGGUAAUGUAACUCCCUGAGUAAUCUCCUGUAGCCUUUUUUAGAGUGAGAUUUUCAAGUGGUAGUCAUUAACAUCCCGUGUGCAAGGCGUCGGCAGGUCAGGGUAGAGCACAAUGAGCUUGAAAGCCAGGGAGCAGGCCAGGGUCAGGCGAGGCCGAGAGAUGAGGGUUUGCGAUUUUAUCCAAGCCAGUAAGGUCAGUCAAACAGGUUCAUAAGUGCACAGCUCACUGGGUCUACUUUGGCUAAGAGCACAGAGGGUAAUGAAAUCCAUUCCAACAUAUGUUACAUAUUUUUAAAGUAACUCUUGUUAUUAUGCUUUAUGUAACUUUUAUCUAUGAUAAUGUGAGUCACAUGAAACAUGGCAACGAUUUGUAAAUAUGUAUUCAUAUACUUGUUUAUUACAGGGCUCUGUGGUACACACAGUUCUGAUCGUGUGAUUGAGGCCUAACUGCUGAACUGAAUGAAUUACAUGCAUUCUAAAACGGUUAGUCUGUCAUUUUUUUUUUUUGUCUGUCUGGUAGAUAGCCGUGAAGUGUAAUGUACAGCCAGCUGGUCAUGAUCCAAAGUGAUUCAAGAGGCUUCUGCUCCAUGUCAGGGUCCUGAUCAUUCCUUUUAGGUUUAAUAAUGACCUGCUGGCACUACAUAUGUGAGGGGUACCAUCUGCCAUGGAGGCCCAAGAUACAUUCCCAUAUUCCAAAACUCUACUGCAGGUUUCAACUGUUGUAGGUUGCCAUCUAGUGGAGAUAUUUCAGAAACUACAGAAUGAGCUGAAAUGAUUAUUUAGGCGGCAGAGAUCAUGAAGAGGAUAGAUUGAGGGGAGAUGAAGCACAGUGUCUGUACCACUGAACAACAGUCUGAAGUUUUGGAAUUGCUUUCACCUUCAUAGAAAUGGUAAAAAACAGAAAGAUGUUUUAAAAUGUAUUUUCCUGUUCAGACCAGGACACAAAGCUAUACCCCCUGUGCCCCUGCACACCCCGCCUGCAGUGCCUGUACUGGCCAUACGGAGGCAGCGGGUUGUGGGCAUGCAGUCCCUGUACUGGCCAUACGGAGGUAGCAGGUUUAAUACAGUAAUGUGUGUCCCUUGUGAGCAGCCAU